GACGAACGCUGGCGGCGUGCCUAAUACAUGCAAGUCGAGCGAAUCAAUAGGAGCUUGCUCCUGAUGGUUAGCGGCGGACGGGUGAGUAACACGUGGGCAACCUGCCUGUAAGACUGGGAUAACACCGGGAAACCGGUGCUAAUACCGGAUAAUCCUUUUCCUCGCAUGAGGAAAAGCUGAAAGUCGGUUUCGGCUGACACUUACAGAUGGGCCCGAGGCGCAUUAGCUAGUUGGUGAGGUAAAGGCGCACCAAGGCGACGAUGCGUAGCCGACCUGAGAGGGUGAUCGGCCACACCGGGACUGAGACACGGCCCAGACUCCUACGGGAGGCAGCAGUAGGGAAUCUUCCACAAUGGACGAAAGUCUGAUGGAGCAACGCCGCGUGAGCGAUGAAGGCCUUCGGGUCGUAAAGCUCUGUUGUUAGGGAAGAACAAGUACCGGAGUAACUGCCGGUACCUUGACGGUACCUAACCAGAAAGCCACGGCUAACUACGUGCCAGCAGCCGCCGUAA
rnacentral:rRNA from 1 species